UACGGAGGAUCCGAGCGUUAUCCGGAAUAACUGGGCGUAAAGAGAUGCGUAGGUGGCAUAUUAAGCAAAACAUGAAAUCGUGUGGCUCAACCAUACGGCUAUGUUUUGAACUGAUAAGCUAGAGAAUGGUAGGGGAAGUUGGAAUUCCCGGUGUAGGAGUGAAAUCCGUAGAUAUCGGGAGGAACACCAAUGGCGAAGGCAGACUUCUGGACCAUUUCUGACACUGAGGCUCGAAAGCGUGGGGAGCGAACGGG
rnacentral:misc_RNA from 1 species